rnacentral:lncRNA from 1 species
UGGAGAACUUAUAGUGGCAUAGAAGUAAGUUGCCUGGUGCUUGCACCUCCUGAUACUCCAAUUUUUAUUUCCCCAAAGAGUGGUUGUGUGAUCCAGGGGGCAAGCACCAGCCCCUCCAGUGACCAGACACUUUGCCAAACGGUGCACGUCCCUGCAGAGCUGGUGUCCUAGAGGUAUCUGUCCACUGUAUGGGCCACGGUGAAGGCGUCUGAAUCCCAGGAUGCUCUGGGAGUACCAGUCUCGUGCAUCAGUUGGCCACGGUGAAGGCAUCUGAAUCCCAGGAUGCUCUGGGAGUACCAGUCUCGUGCAUCAAAGGAAAGCUGUCCACUUCGGGACCAUUUACAGAGAUAGGAUUUAGGAGCAAAGACAAGGCAGGCCUAGAACCGAAAAGGGUAUAUAGAAGAAAUUUAUUAAUAACACAGAAAAAAUAAGAAAUUCGGAAUAAGAUUUCCAGAUCAAUCCCUCCUCCCGCUCCUGACCUUCCAUAUGUAGAAAAAAAAUAAGAAAUUUGGAAUAAGAUUUCCAGAUCACUCCCCUCCACUUCCAUAUGUCUUAACCACAACAUACAGACACACUUCAG